ACGAACGCUGGCGGCGUGCUUAACACAUGCAAGUCGAACGGAAAGGCCCUGCUUGCAGGGUACUCGAGUGGCGAACGGGUGAGUAACACGUGGGUGAUCUGCCCUGCACUUCGGGAUAAGCCUGGGAAACUGGGUCUAAUACCGGAUAGGAGCCAUUUUUAGUGUGAUGGUUGGAAAGUUUUUUCGGUGUAGGAUGAGCUCGCGGCCUAUCAGCUUGUUGGUGGGGUAAUGGCCUACCAAGGCGGCGACGGGUAGCCGGCCUGAGAGGGUGGACGGCCACAGUGGGACUGAGAUACGGCCCAGACUCCUACGGGAGGCAGCAGUGGGGAAUAUUGCACAAUGGGCGCAAGCCUGAUGCAGCGACGCCGCGGGGGGGAUGACGGCCUUCGGGUUGUAAACUCCUUUCGCUAGGGACGAAGCUUUUUGUGACGGUACCUAGAUAAGAAGCACCGGCUAACUACGUG
rnacentral:rRNA from 1 species